rnacentral:lncRNA from 1 species
GCGGUUAAUUUUUUUUUAUUUUCAAAAAAUAGUAUAGCCGGUCGGCUAUACUCGGUUUUAAAAUAAUUUUAGAGGGAAUAGCAUAGCCGCGGCGAUACUUGGUUUUUAAUUUAUUAAUUUUUCCUAAAUUCGUCAUAAGAAAUAGUAUAGCCGCGCGGCUAUAAUUGGAUUUUUCCUCUUUUUUAUUUGAAAGAAAUAGUAUCGUCACCAUACUGCACAAAUUAGCAACGAUUAAUAUGGUCUUUGAAUAAAUAUAAGUACUCGAAAAUUAAGUAACACCCGGAAAACUACGACCAGCAAUUUGAAACAUCAACAGAGCCAAAAAGAAGAUGAAAAUGAUAUCAGGAGGGGAACCAAGAAUUUUGAGAAAUUUGGGAAUUUUGAAAAAAUUAGGGUUUCAGAAAUCAAAAUCAGGUAGCAAAAAUGCAAAGACGAUGAGAUCGAUGAAUAAGAUGAUAUCACGACAUAAGAAAAACUGUAAUCGACAAUGCAAUUGUAAACAGAAAAGUGUUUUAAAAAAAAUUCCAAACUUUCAACAGUAUAUGAGAUGAAAGCAAAAAAACCCAAAAAUCAAAAGGGAUUAGAACAUUGAUGGGAAGUUGAAAGCAUACCUAAAGAAAUCAAAUACAAGCUCUGAAGCUCAGGCGUUGUUGCAGAGUGAUAAAAGGGAGACAGAGAGCGAUAGAUUUGAGACGGUUGGAGAGGUGCUUGGCGACGAAGGGUUUUGAUUCUUUUGCUUUCCUGAUCUCAACUGGAAUAUUUAUAAUCGAGUUGGGAAAAUCCUGUGGGUUCAGAAAAUAAAAGGAAAAUAAAAGAUAAGAGAUGAGAAAUGAGAAAUCAAACCACCACCGCUAUCAUCCGAUGGAGAUUAACUUGCAGAAAAAUAGAAGAAGAAAAUAAUAAGGCAGAACCCAUCACCAGGAACUGCCAUUGAUUGACAAAAAUCCCCGUCAUAUCGGGUUCCGAUUUCGGGUUAAAAUUAGGGACAAGUAAAGUAAGGAGAUCCCCG